rnacentral:rRNA from 1 species
AUUGAACGCUGGCGGCAGGCCUAACACAUGCAAGUCGAACGGCAGCACAGAAGAGCUUGCUCUUUGGGUGGCGAGUGGCGGACGGGUGAGUAAUGUCUGGGAAACUGCCCGAUGGAGGGGGAUAACUACUGGAAACGGUAGCUAAUACCGCAUAACGUCGCGAGACCAAAGUGGGGGACCUUCGGGCCUCACACCAUCGGAUGUGCCCAGAUGGGAUUAGCUAGUAGGUGGGGUAAUGGCUCACCUAGGAGACGAUCCCUAGCUGGUCUGAGAGGAUGACCAGCCACACUGGAACUGAGACACGGUCCAGACUGCUACGGGAGGCAGCAGUGGGGAAUAUUGCACAAUGGGCGCAAGCCUGAUGCAGCCAUGCCGCGUGUAUGAAGAAGGCCUUCGGGUUGUAAAGUACUUUCAGCGGGGAGGAAGGCGGUGAGGUUAAUAACCUUGCCGAUUGACGUUACCCGCAGAAGAAGCACCGGCUAACUCCGUGCCAGCCGCCGCGGUAA